CUGUCAAUCACGCGUGCCCCAGCGCUGAGGGUUGCAGUGGGGACCGCUCUUGUCAUGCUGUGGGGAGGGGCCCAGGCGCUGCACUUGCGUGGCUCGCCUGGCUUGCAAAGGGGUUGAACGCUCACAGCUCCCCCUGCCUCAAAAGUAGCAGCAGGUGCUCAGCACCACUGGCAGCCUCGCCUUCCCCUCAGACAACAUCUGUGGGGUGCAGGGACUUUGCUCCAAGCUUCUGCAGACCCUGAAGGAGGCAGAGCGGGGGGCGACCCUGAAGUGCUACCCUUCAGAUCCAGUCCAAAUGGAAGUCAGGUCUCAGCCGUCAAUUCUCACAGACAAAAAAGUAGCAGAGAAGCAGAAAUUACUAGAAACUUGUGGCCAGGUGUGUUGCUGAGGGAAAGUGGCAGCUGCGCUGAAGUCAGCAGCAUAAAGUACGGCAAAUGGCAGCUGGCUCUGCACCCCGCAGAUCAGCCCCCAAUUAGCUAGGCCUGCAAACGUUGAGCGCUGCGGCACUACUCUGUAUGAGCCGGUGCAACAUCUCACACGUUCGCCCUUUGCUGGCAGCAGUCGGGUUACAGAUGGGGGGAGUGUAGCGCCUGGGUUACUGGGGAUCUUCCAGUUUAUGGGGCCUGCUGUGUUCGGGCUGGGUCAGCCCCAGGUUCUGCUGAAAAAUUGGGGCUAUGAGUAGAUCCAGGGGUUUGUGCACAAGCUGACUGGCAGCCGUGACCCUACAGCACUUGGCUGCACGCUGCCUAGUGUCAUUCCCUGCCUGCUCUGCAGCAGCGCCAGUCCUGACCCCCUUUUUCCAGCCCAGCUGCUCCAUUGUGGGGUCUCCUACACUUCUAAUCCCCAGCCAAAUUCUGGACCUCGACCCCCUUUCUAGGUUCCUUCUUUCCAUUCCUGUUCCCAGGACCUCAUUCCCCCAGCAGGAUGUGUCCUUCGUCCUUUGGCCACCCUGAGAUGAGGCAGGGCAAGAAAAAGACACUGAGGAUGGGAGAAGACUGCGAGGCUUGAGGGGGUGUGAAGAGAUGGUGGGCACUGGCAGCACUUCUUUCUCUUGGAGGGAGAGAAGCAAGGGGCAAAGGACUCAGGGGAAUAAGGCAGAAGCAACAAGGAAUACACUUGGGACAAGGGAAGGGAGAAAAAAUGUAAAAAGAUUAAAGCCUAAAAGAGAAAACAAAAUUGGGGAUGCAAGGGGCAAGCCCAGAGGGCAGAAUUGAAGUGAACACUGGGGUGUGUAAGCACUGCUCUCUACCCUGGAAGAUGCUGCAUGGGAGAGCUCUAGCAUCUCCAAACCCAGCCACGCUUUGGAAAUCUUGUCUCCCUCAUGUAGGGUGUAACCAAAGGUAAAGCAAUAGCUAGGAACUAGGAACAAAGCAAACUCCUACAUUAAAUGCAUGGGGUCACUGUAAAUUGUUCCCACUGAAGUGCAGCUCUCAACUUUCCCUCAUUGUAGACACCAGUUCACCAGACAAAGGUGCCACCUCACAUUUGUUAUAGCAAGUUAGUGACGUAAGAAGUGCUGAUUCAUAAAACGGAAAUGGCAGAAAUCUUUGUACCUAGCCUAAAGCAGAAGGGCAUGGGGGAGUCCAGAGAUAAAUCUGCGAGAUGACAUUUAAGUCAUGUGCUCAGGGCAAGACCUGUUUAAAGAAGAACUCCACCCGUUGGAAAUAUAAAAGUAUGUUGCCUUCGGCUUUGCCUGAAUUUAUUCUUCCUUAGGAGUGAAACUGCAACAGCCUGUCAGUUGAAUUCACCUCUCUUUCUCCUGUCAAGGGGAAAGCAGAGAUGCAUUUCAGUGCCCCAUGAACAGCCAUGUCAUGCAAUGGGCAGCUCUGGUAGGAAGUAAUAAACUGCACAUCAUUUUAAGUCUUGCACUGAGGGACUUAAGCUCGACACACAAGUUAGAACCAGUCCUUGGCCCACUGUCAAUUGCCAGUGUAUCUCUGUGAUAUACGUUUGGGUGCCCCUGCUUCAGCACAGGUAUAACAUUUCUAUCAUUUAUGUUGCCUAAGUCAGAAUUCCUUAUGUCAAUAAUUUACUAAGAUAAAAAGUGACCUUGCAGUGUUGGGUGGGACAAGUGGGAAUUUGUGCCUGAAAGGAAAGACAGUGAAAUGCAGGACAGCUGCAUUUCAUUGCGAAACUGGGGAGAUCUGUAGGAUGUUUAAUCACAGAUAUGCCUAGUACAGGAGUAACUGGAGUCACUCUAGGCUUAUGCUUAUGUCAUGGAGGACAGUCUUUGUCUCAGUGAUUCUGAAUUCCCUUCUGGAUCAGAAUGGUGUAAGUGUAGUAUUGCAACCCCACGCAUUCAAGAGUUGUGCUUUUAAUGAUUUUUUUUAAGUAAUCGUUGUGGGUUUGUUUUAUCUGCCUUCUGGUUUCCAAGACUGUAGACCAAUGGUAGGCAACAUUUUUUGGCUGGAGUGCCGAAAAAACCACAAUGUCACUUUGGAAGGUGCCAGAGUGCCAACAUGCUGGAGCCCGGAGCAGCUGUUUGCAGCCUCCCAGCUUCAGCCAGUCCACAGAGCCUGGUCUGCUUGCAGCAGGGCUUGCAGCCUCCCAGCCACCUGCUGGAAGCAGCCUGGGCUCGGUGGCUGGCAGCAGCUGCUUAGAGCCCAGGCUGGUAGUGGUGUGCAGAGCAAAAUGGCCUUGCGUGCCAUGCUUGGCACGCGUGCUGGGGAUUGCUGACCCCUGCUGUUGACUUCAGGCUACAAUCAUAGCAUGUUUUCAAUUUUUCUCAGCAAACCUCAGUAGCAGAUGCUUAUUUGUUGUUUGGUUUUUUUUUAAUUGAAAACCCCAAGACCUGACUUCAGCAGCUGGACAAAAGCUAGAUUCAUAGUAGGAUCUUGAAAGCUGACAGCAAUGAAAACAAAAGACACUGUCAUAACAUAAUAGUUUUAUCUGUGGCUUUCAAUAAGUAGCUGGUAAACCCCCCCCCCCCCCCAUGCUCAGCUUUAUUUGUUUUAAGAAAAGCCUUUUACAAUUGAUAAUUGUGCAGCUCUUCCAGCUGCUUAUGCUAGUGAGGUGCCAAGAAGGAAGUGAAGAAGGUGGGUGGAGAGGUGUGUGCAGCAGGUAUCAAAUAUCGUGACUUGCACAAUGUAAGUUGGCCGGCAGCAUCCAAGGCCUUCUGAGUUUCAGGGCUUCCAAGUGCUGGGAUUAGGAAACAUCCUCCUCAUAAUACUCCUCUCAGGAACAUGGGAGUCUUUGUCACCAAGUUUUAGAGUAAGCUUGGGUUGUUUUUAGGAAGCUAAGUUUCUUGAACCUGGGACAUUUACUUAGACUUGUUUCCAGAUUCAUACGCUUGCUAAUUGCAUCAUCUUUUGCCAUUGCUGAACUCUGUCCUGCAGGUCCUUGCCCUUCACAAAAAUUAUUUCUCUAUGUUGUAAUAAUUGCAUGUGACACGUUAGCUCAUAGCUGGUGGAGGGUGUGUUCUUAAAGCCCAAGAUUCAGGGUCUGUCCACUCAGCAAAGACAGACUCUUGGGUUUGCAACGUAGAUGCCCUACACAGCCGAUGGCUCCAAGCCUGUGAGAGGGCAUCCAUUCUCUAACAAUUCCAGGCAGCUUGUUGCAUGUGAGCCUUUCAGGUGGGAUCUUGCAGCAGAGACCCUCUUCCCAUGAGAAAUACCAUGUAUUUGGUUUCUUUAGCUCAUACAAUUAAAAUUACUUUCCUAGGAUUGUACGCACUUCGCCACUAGCUUGUCUGAGGGACAGGAUGUCUAUACGACAUCCACAGACCUGCAACUCAUGUACAUAUGCCCAAGCAAGCAGAACAGUUGUACUAGCACAGAGCUCAGUCAGCCUGCCAGAGAAGCUAUGUAAAUACUAGGGGGCUUAGCCUGUGCUGAGCUCCAUCCUACUGUCUCUCUCUGCCCUUAAUAGUACCUGAGCUAGCUAGAAUAAAGGAUGCUCAGAUACAGCUACACCAGCUGCAGUCAUUACAGCACAGACAUACCUAUAGGAGGAGAAAUAAAAGGUUGCAUCCUCAGUCUCUGUCCUGGCUGAGCUAUAAGGGAGGAAUAGGACAGGGAAGAGGCAAAUUUGGCUUUAAGCCACUUCUGAAUGAGACUAUAUUAAGCCUUUUUAUUUAGCUGCUCAUGUGCAUGUUGUAGAACUAUUCCUAGGUAAGUCCAAAGGUGAAAGUAUAUGUAUAAAUGGUUGGCACAAUAUUGCAGAACAGGCUAGUACACAGGGCUUUUGUUUUACACAAAUAUAUGUACAGGUGUUGUGUGUAGCCAUUGGAAAUAUAUAUACACACACACACACACACACAUAUAUAUAUAUAUAUAUACACACACACACACAUAUAUAUAUAUAUAUACACACACACACACACACACACACACACACACACACACACACACACACACAUAUAUAUAUAUAUAUAUAUAUAUAUAUAUAUGAGUAUUUAGUACCUCCUUCCUAUAUGCAGCUAGGUGAGGGUUAGCCUAAAAUUGUAUGCACAGGUAGGUACAUAAGCAUUUUUUGCAGCAUUUAUUCAGGUUGCUUUGGGGGUAUUACUUAUUCAGUGACUGAAACAUUUACAGUUGCAGUACAGAGUAGCUCUAGCCCUGGGACAUUCCUGUUUGUCUUUGUUUCCCUUGUGUUAGCUGAAGUGCAAUGCCCAGAACUAGUCUCAGAACUGGCAAGUGAUCUGUUCCAUCUCCCGGUUUCUCGUGUCUUUUUUAGCCAAAUGAUCAUUUUCCUGUCACUUUUAGUAGUUUGGGAUAAUAGUUUUAGCAAAUACUUUUCCUGCUAUUUUGCAGGUUUGGGUAUAUUUCCUAGAAGACAGUAUUGUGAAAUCAAUGGAGCAGCACUGAUCUACAUCAGCUACGAAUUGGAGCAUGACUUUUUAUCAAGUUCUAUGAUCACCUCAAAGGAUUUGUAAGCAGAGUCAUUUGCCUUCUGUGUCUCUUUGACUCUUGCUGCCAUAUGUUCCACUUCACUCUGGAAGAGCUACAGGGGAGGGUUUGUUAUAAUCAGAACUGUGUCAAAGAUCAUGCUUUCUCAGCUGUUGCAAGAAGGAGCAAUCCUCCCUUUUCUAGACAACCUGCAUUCGCUGUGUGAUUAUGCUCAAGAACCUUUGCAGAGACAAAGGGAGAGAUCCUUAGCUGGUGUAAACAGAGCCCUGUGGAUUUCAGCAGACUACACAGAUUGAUAACAACUGAGAAUCUAGCCCUGAAAAAUCUAUUAAAAACUCUUGGCAAUGUUGUUUAA